AGUUUGAUCCUGGCUCAGAACGAACGCUGGCGGCAGGCUUAACACAUGCAAGUCGAACGCCCCGCAAGGGGAGUGGCAGACGGGUGAGUAACGCGUGGGAAUCUACCGUGCCCUGCGGAAUAGCUCCGGGAAACUGGAAUUAAUACCGCAUACGCCCUACGGGGGAAAGAUUUAUCGGGGUAUGAUGAGCCCGCGUUGGAUUAGGUAGUUGGUGGGGUAAAGGCCUACCAAGCCGACGAUCCAUAGCUGGUCUGAGAGGAUGAUCAGCCACAUUGGGACUGAGACACGGCCCAAACUCCUACGGGGGGCAGCAGUGGGGAAUAUUGGACAAUGGGCGCAAGCCUGAUCCAGCCAUGCCGCGUGAGUGAUGAAGGCCUUAGGGUUGUAAAGCUCUUUCACCGGUGAAGAUAAUGACGGUAGUCGGAGAAGAAGCCCCGGCUAACUUCGUGCCAGCAGCCGCGGUAA
rnacentral:rRNA from 1 species